AUACGGAGGAUCCGAGCGUUAUCCGGAUUUAUUGGGUUUAAAGGGAGCGUAGGCGGAGGAUCAAGUCAGCUGUGAAAUGUAGACGCUCAACGUCUGCACUGCAGUUGAAACUGGUCCCCUUGAGUGCGUAAGGGGCAGGCGGAAUUCGUCGUGUAGCGGUGAAAUGCUUAGAUAUGACGAAGAACUCCGAUCGCGAAGGCAGCUUGCCGGGCCGCAACUGACGCUGAAGCUCGAAGGUGCGGGUAUCGAACAGGAUUAGAUACCCUGGUAGUCCGCACAGUAAACGAUGGAUACUCGCUGUCGGCGAUAUACGGUCGGUGGCCAAGCGAAAGCGUUAAGUAUUCCACCUGGGGAGUACGCCGGCAACGGUGAAACUCAAAGGAAUUGACGGGG
rnacentral:rRNA from 1 species